UACGAAGGGGGCUAGCGUUGCUCGGAAUCAUUGGGCGUAAAGCGCACGUAGGCGGUUCGUUAUGUCGGAUGUGAAAGCCCUUGGCUUAACCGAGGAAGUGCAUCCGAAACUGGCGAGCUAGAGUACGAAAGAGGAUCGCGGAAUUCCCGGUGUAGAGGUGAAAUUCGUAGAUAUCGGGAGGAACACCGGUGGCGAAGGCGGCGAUCUGGGUCGAUACUGACGCUGAGGUGCGAAAGCGUGGGGAGCAAACGGG
rnacentral:rRNA from 1 species